GAUGAACGCUGGCGGCGUGCCUAAUACAUGCAAGUCGAGCGAACGGACGAGAAGCUUGCUUCUCUGAUGUUAGCGGCGGACGGGUGAGUAACACGUGGAUAACCUACCUAUAAGACUGGGAUAACUUCGGGAAACCGGAGCUAAUACCGGAUAAUAUUUUGAACCGCAUGGUUCAAAAGUGAAAGACGGUCUUGCUGUCCCUUAUAGAUGGAUCCGCGCUGGAUUAGCUAGUUGGUAAGGUAACGGCUUACCUAGGCAACGAUGCAUAGCCGACCUGAGAGGGUGGUCGGCCACACGGGUAGUGAGACACGGUCCGGACUCCUACGGGAGGCAGCAGUAGGGAGUCUUCCGCGAUGGGCGAAAGCAUGACGGAGCAACGCCGCGUGAGUGAUGAAGGUCUUCGGAUCGUAAAACUCUGUUAUUAGUGAAGAACAUAUGUGUAAGUAACUGUGCACAUCUUGACGGUACCUAGUCAGAAAGCCACGGCUAACUACGUG
rnacentral:rRNA from 1 species